rnacentral:rRNA from 2 species
UGGGGAAUUUUGGACAAUGGGGGCAACCCUGAUCCAGCCAUGCCGCGUGAGUGAAGAAGGCCUUCGGGUUGUAAAGCUCUUUCGGCCGGGAAGAAAUCGUGCAGGCUAAUACCCUGUAUGGAUGACGGUACCGGAAUAAGAAGCACCGGCUAACUACGUGCCAGCAGCCGCGGUAAUACGUAGGGUGCGAGCGUUAAUCGGAAUUACUGGGCGUAAAGCGUGCGCAGGCGGUUUUGUAAGACAGGCGUGAAAUCCCCGGGCUCAACCUGGGAACUGCGCUUGUGACUGCAAGACUAGAGUACGGCAGAGGGGGGUGGAAUUCCACGUGUAGCAGUGAAAUGCGUAGAGAUGUGGAGGAACACCAAUGGCGAAGGCAGCCCCCUGGGUCGAUACUGACGCUCAUGCACGAAAGCGUGGGGAGCAAACAGG